GCCACCAGCUGAGUUUCCGGGUUCCUGGUUCUGGAGAAGGUGGCUGGGCAUGUCCUAGGUAGGCCUGAAACCGGCCAGACGAGUGCAGCCUAGUGUGGCGGGGCUCUGGGCGGGCCCUUGAGCUCUGGGAGCAAUGAUCUUAACACAGCCUCCCGGGUUCUGGAUAGGGAGCUGACUCACCCCAGCUACCAGCUGAAUUUCCUGCUUACUCAGAAGUAAACUUUUGAAUAAUCUUUUGAGUCAUCUUGUUAUAUAAAUGAGAGUUCUUCCUCUAUCAAAAGUGGUAAUGAUAUGAAGUUAUAGAGGAGGUUUGAAGAUCUAGAUUCUCAUCCGUACUUUGGAAGUCCAAAUCUGUUGAGAGAAAAGAUGGUGCGAGCUGUGAGGUUUCCUCUCCUGUUGCUGCUGUGCCUGUUUGGGCUGCUGUGCCCUUUUUGGGCUGUGUCUCAGGAUCUCACCCCAUUUCAGAUGUUUCAGCAUAAACAUGUACAGCCAGACCCUCGCCCAUGUGACCCGGCGAUGACUGCUGUCAAUGAAUUAGAAAAGAAUCAUAAGUGCAGGCCUACAAACACCUUUCUGCAUAACUCUCUCCAGAAUGUGAUUGAUGUGUGUACACUGCCCAACCAGCUCUGCAGGAAUGGCCAAAACAACUGCCACCAGAGUAUACAUCCUGUGAAGAUGACUGUCUGCCAGUUAACUAAAGGUCAGUACCCGAACUGCUACUACAGGACUGAUUCCACUCUCAAGAACUUCACUGUGGCCUGUGAGCCACCUCAGCAGGAGGAUCCACGUCAGUACCCUCUGGUUCCUGUUCACUUUGACGCUAUUGUCCACAAUUCCCAGCGGUUUUCCUCUGUCUUGACAGGCAGUUGCUAUUAUAGUUUG